rnacentral:ncRNA from 2 species
AUAGAUUACAAGUAGUGUGAACGAAAGAUGAAAAGAACUCUAAAACAGAGGGUGAAAAGUUCCUGAACUUGCUUAGGGUUAAGGCUAUUUAUAGUACCCGUCUUGAAACACGGAUUAGGGAGUUUAUCUGUAGUGCGAGUCUUUGCACGUUAACUGUAAAGGCGUAGAGAAAGCAACUGGCGUUUGCAUGGCUACUGAGCAUUACUGAUAGGACCCGAAAGGUGGUGAACUUUGCCUGCACAGGUUGAAGUCAGGGGAAACUCUGAUGGAGGACCGUACGGGUUAUUGAUGUGCAAAUCAUUUUUCUGAUGUAGGUAAAGGUGCGAAAGACUCAUCGAACCACCUAAUAGCUGGUUUCCUCCGAAGUUUCCCUCAGGAUAGCUGUAAUGCAUUUAGUUAAGGGGAGUAGAGAUAUGGGUAGAGGUGCAGGGAGCCUUCGGGUUCUCAACUUAUUUCCAAACUUCGAACCUCCUUGUUAGGCAUUUACCUAACUGGAAAUGCUUAAAUGAAUUAGCGUUACAAGUGGGCUCUGACCGGUAAGCGGUCAUGGCGAAAUGGGAUGAACCAUACGUCUGAAUAAGGUGCCGAAAUGUACUAUCACUGAUACCAUAAAGGGAGUCCAUGUAUUUAGACAGCAGGUCGGUGCCCCUAAAAGCAGGUAUCCGCUAAAGAGUGUGUUAAAACUCACCUGCCGAAUACUAGGGCCCCGAAAAUGAAUGGCGCAUAUAGUACUACCGAUCUCAGACAUCAGUUCUAUUGAACUGAGAGUAGGGGGAUGUGGACAUUUUUGUGAAGGUGCAAUGUGAGUUGGACUGGAAGAAUGUCUAUUACAGAUCCUAAUUGAAGUAGCGAUUAUCCAGGCUUGUAUCCUGGGGGCUGAUGAGGAGUAAGGUUUCUGGACAACUUAAACAGAUCCAGAGUUAGUCGAUCCUAAUCUCAAUAAUGGGAGAAAGGGAGUACAGUUGAUAUUCUGUAACUGACAACAGUUCGCGGCAACGCAUACUAUUUUUCUCCGCCAAUCUUAUACCGUUGGUAGGGAUCUCUUUCCUACAUGACAGUACUAAUACCCAAGG